rnacentral:rRNA from 1 species
AAACCAACAGGGAUUGCCUCAGUAGCGGCGAGUGAAGCGGCAAGAGCUCAGAUUUGAAAUCGUGCUUUGCGGCACGAGUUGUAGAUUGCAGGUUGGAGUCUGUGUGGAAGGCGGUGUCCAAGUCCCUUGGAACAGGGCGCCCAGGAGGGUGAGAGCCCCGUGGGAUGCCGGCGGAAGCAGUGAGGCCCUUCUGACGAGUCGAGUUGUUUGGGAAUGAAGCUCCAAGCGGGUGGUAAAUUCCAUCUAAGGCUAAAUACUGGCGAGAGACCGAUAGCGAACAAGUACUGUGAAGGAAAGAUGAAAAGCACUUUGAAAAGAGAGUGAAACAGCACGUGAAAUUGUUGAAAGGGAAGGGUAUUGCGCCGACAUGGGGAUUGCGCACCGCUGCCUCUCGUGGGCGGCGCUCUGGGCUUUCCCUGGGCCAGCAUCGGUUCUUGCUGCAGGGAGGUACGGUUGACGUACGGUCGUCUUCGUACGGUGUUAGUAGUCGACGGCGG